rnacentral:rRNA from 1 species
GAGGCGGCCCGCAAGGGCCAGUCGAGCGGCGAACGUUUUACCCACGCGUGGAUAACCUGCCCAGAGGUGGGGGAUAGCUCGGCGAAAGCCGGAUUAAUACCGCAUAUGACCGUGAGGUCAAAGGGGGCUCGCAAGGGCUCUCGCCAUUGGAGGGGUCCGCGUCCGAUUAGCUAGUUGGUAGGGUAAUGGCCUACCAAGGCGACGAUCGGUAGCCGGCCUGAGAGGGUGAUCGGCCACACUGGAACUGAGACACGGUCCAGACUCCUACGGGAGGCAGCAGUGGG